rnacentral:rRNA from 1 species
UACGAAGGGGGCUAGCGUUGUUCGGAAUUACUGGGCGGAAAGCGCGCGCAGGCGGUCUUCCAAGUCAGUGGUGAAAGCCCGGAGCUCAACUCCGGAACUGCCAUUGAAACUGUAAGACUUGAGGAUGAGAGAGGUGAGUGGAAUUCCCAGUGUAGAGGUGAAAUUCGUAGAUAUUGGGAAGAACACCGGUGGCGAAGGCGGCUCACUGGCUCAUAUCUGACGCUCAGGCGCGACAGCGUGGGGAUCAAACAGG